UACGGAGGAUGCGAGCGUUAUCCGGAUUUAUUGGGUUUAAAGGGUGCGCAGGUGGCGUGUCAAGUCAGCGGUAAAAUGUCGGGGCUCAACCCCGGCCGGCCGUUGAAACUGGCGUGCUCGAGUUGGAGAGAAGUAUGCGGAAUUCGUGGUGUGGCGGUGAAAUGCAUAGAUAUCACGAAGAACCCCGAUUGCGAAGGCAGCAUACCGGCUCCACACUGACGCUGAGGCACGAAAGCGUGGGUAUCGAACAGG
rnacentral:rRNA from 1 species